CGUGUAGGCGGUUUGGUAAGUCUGAUGUGAAAGCCCUGGGCUCAACCCGGGAAGUGCAUUGGAAACUGUCAGACUUGAAUACGGGAGAGGGUAGUGGAAUUCCUGGUGUAGGAGUGAAAUCCGUAGAUAUCAGGAGGAACACCGGUGGCGAAGGCGGCUGCCUGGACCGAUAUUGACGCUGAGACGCGAAAGCGUGGGUAGCAAACAGGAUUAGAUACCCUGGUACGUCCACGCCGUAAACGAUGAGUACUAGGUGUUGCGGGUAUUGACCCCUGCAGUGCCGCAGCUAACGCAUUAAGUACUCCGCCUGGGAAGUACGGUCGCAAGACUAAA
rnacentral:rRNA from 1 species